rnacentral:rRNA from 1 species
GUCCAGACUCCUACGGGAGGCAGCAGUGGGGAAUAUUGCACAAUGGGGGAAACCCUGAUGCAGCGACGCCGCGUGAGUGAAGAAGUAUUUCGGUAUGUAAAGCUCUAUCAGCAGGAAAGAAAAUGACGGUACCUGACUAAGAAGCCCCGGCUAACUACGUGCCAGCAGCCGCGGUAAUACGUAGGGGGCGAGCGUUAUCCGGAUUCACUGGGUGUAAAGGGAGCGUAGACGGCCAUGCAAGCCAGGGGUGAAAGCCCGGGGCCCAACCCCGGGACUGCCCUUGGAACUGCAUGGCUGGAGUGCGGGAGGGGCAGGCGGAAUUCCUAGUGUAGCGGUGAAAUGCGUAGAUAUUAGGAGGAACACCAGUGGCGAAGGCGACUUUCUGGACUGUACCUGACGCUGAGGCGCGAAAGCGUGGGUAGCGAACGGGAUUAGAUACCCCAGUA